UAGAACCUCUGGUUCAAACGAGCAGAAUGAAUCCUUUCAUGUGUUCCCAGGCAAUUUCACCUUCCUAUAUUAUUUUCCUAUAGCCAUUACUAAAGUAUCUGCAGAUUUUCUUAAAAUCAUAUUCCAUUAUUCUCCUUGCAUUCCAAGGAUUUAACUACAUUUUUUUCUUCUGUCUACAUUUCUCACUUACUUCCAUGUAGACUGAGUUGGUUUACUGGUCUUAAGCAUUUCACUCUCUGAAUUUUCUGCAGCCAAUCCUAAACAGUGGGAGUGACCUUUUUUGUUGUUGUUUUCUUCUAAAUUACUCUCUACCCGAGAAAUAGUACAGAGCCGGAGAGGAGGAAAGAGCCAAUGAAACUCCACAUGAAACUCAUUGUCGGCCGUCUCAUGGGAUAUCUUUGAACUGUUCAACAGCCUCGAGGCCAAACUGUCUUUGUUUGUUCAGGAGCUUCCUCUGUGCAAUGACAGCAAACCUCACUCUAAAACCUGGGCAAAUCUAAUACAACUACCUGCAUGGCUCCAUACCACAACAGGUAUCGUCCCGGAAAAAAACCACCAGCAGCAUCAUUUGCCCACCUCAAAACCACGCGGACUCCGACUGCUGGUCACUAUCACAGGUUUUGUUUUCUUGGCAGGCAAAAACAGCUUUUACUCAAAGGAAAGGGAGAGACCAACGCUAACUUUGUGUCCAAUGCUGGUUUCAAACCAUCAGAUGCUCGAGCACAUGUGGAAACAGGGGGUUACCGAGUGAUGGG